rnacentral:rRNA from 1 species
GAUGAACGCUGACAGAAUGCUUAACACAUGCAAGUCUUUGGCGAAGCUGUGCUCGCACAGCCUAGCCAAGGCGGACGGGUGAGUAACGCGUAAGGAACUUGCCCUGCAGUCAGGGAUAACAGACGGAAACGACUGAUAAGACCUGGUAAAGUCAGGCGGACUCAUGUCCAGCCUGAUGAAAAGAGAUGCUGCAGGAGAGCCUUGCGUCCUAUUAGCUUGUUGGUGGGGUAGCGGCCCACCAAGGCGAUGAUAGGUAGCCGGCCUGAGGGGGUGGACGGCCACAAGGGGACUGAGAUACGGCCCUUACUCCUACGGGAGGCAGCAGUGGAGAAUAGUGGACAAGGGGGGCAACCCUGAUCCAGAAAUUCUGUGUGGACGAUGAAGGUUUUCGGAUUGUAAAGUGCUUUCAGGAGGGAAGAAAAAAAUGACGGUACCUGCAGAAGAAGCGACGGCUAAAUACGUG